rnacentral:rRNA from 1 species
AGAUGUGGCCAUACCUCCAGCCCAACCUUGUCAGAUCUCAGAAGGUAAGCAGGGCUGGUUAGUACUUGGAUGGGAGACCACUGAGGAUACCAGGUAUCACAGUGG